rnacentral:rRNA from 1 species
UACGUAGGGCGCAAGCGUUGUCCGGAAUUAUUGGGCGUAAAGAGCUCGUAGGCGGUCUGUUAAGUCAGGUGUGAAAGCCCCCGGCUCAACCGGGGAAUUGCAUUUGAUACUGGCAGGCUCGAGAACGGUAGGGGUGAGUGGAACUCCAGGUGGAGCGGUGAAAUGCGUAGAUAUCUGGAGGAACACCGGUGGCGAAAGCGGCUCACUGGACCGUCACUGACGCUGAGGUGCGAAAGCUAGGGUAGCAAACGGG